UUGAACGCUGGCGGCAUGCCUUACACAUGCAAGUCGAACGGCAGCACGGGUGCUUGCACCUGGUGGCGAGUGGCGAACGGGUGAGUAAUACAUCGGAACAUGUCCUGUAGUGGGGGAUAGCCCGGCGAAAGCCGGAUUAAUACCGCAUACGAUCUACGGAUGAAAGCGGGGGACCUUCGGGCCUCGCGCUAUAGGGUUGGCCGAUGGCUGAUUAGCUAGUUGGUGGGGUAAAGGCCUACCAAGGCGACGAUCAGUAGCUGGUCUGAGAGGACGACCAGCCACACUGGGACGGAGACACGGCCCAGACUCCUACGGGAGGGAGCAGUGGGGAAUUUUGGACAAUGGGCGAAAGCCUGAUCCAGCAAUGCCGCGUGUGUGAAGAAGGCCUUCGGGUUGUAAAGCACUUUUGUCCGGAAAGAAAUCCUUGGCUCUAAUACAGUCGGGGGAUGACGGUACCGGAAGAAUAAGCACCGGCUAACUACGUGCCAGCAGCCGCGGUAAUACGUAGGGUGCGAGCGUUAAUCGGAAUUACUGGGCGUAAAGCGUGCGCAGGCGGUUUGCUAAGACCGAUGUGAAAUCCCCGGGCUCAACCUGGGAACUGCAUUGGUGACUGGCAGGCUAGAGUAUGGCAGAGGGGGGUAGAAUUCCACGUGUAGCAGUGAAAUGCGUAGAGAUGUGGAGGAAUACCGAUGGCGAAGGCAGCCCCCUGGGCCAAUACUGACGCUCAUGCACGAAAGCGUGGGGAGCAAACAGGAUUAGAUACCCUGGUAGUCCACGCCCUAAACGAUGUCAACUAGUUGUUGGGGAUUCAUUUCCUUAGUAACGUAGCUAACGCGUGAAGUUGACCGCCUGGGGAGUACGGUCGCAAGAUUAAAACUCAAAGGAAUUGACGGGGACCCGCACAAGCGGUGGAUGAUGUGGAUUAAUUCGAUGCAACGCGAAAAACCUUACCUACCCUUGACAUGGUCGGAAUCCCGCUGAGAGGUGGGAGUGCUCGAAAGAGAACCGGCGCACAGGUGCUGCAUGGCUGUCGUCCGCUCGUGUCGUGAGAUGUUGGGUUAAGCCCCGCAACGAGCGCAACCCUUGUCCUUAGUUGCUACGCAAGAGCACUCUAAGGAGACUGCCGGUGACAAACCGGAGGAAGGUGGGGAUGACGUCAAGUCCUCAUGGCCCUUAUGGGUAGGGCUUCACACGUCAUACAAUGGUCGGAACAGAGGGUUGCCAACCCGCGAGGGGGAGCUAAUCCCAGAAAACCGAUCGUAGUCCGGAUUGCACUCUGCAACUCGAGUGCAUGAAGCUGGAAUCGCUAGUAAUCGCGGAUCAGCAUGCCGCGGUGAAUACGUUCCCGGGUCUUGUACACACCGCC
rnacentral:rRNA from 1 species